CAGGAGAAGAGCGCAAAAAAAAUCACUUCCUCGAAACAUAAUGGUAAAUGAGUAAUGAGGAUUCCGAUUUUAUGAAAGCUACGAUGCAAAUCUACGCCUUAGACCUAGACACUGAAAACACCGAAAACUAAAGAUACGAGGGGGCAAGCGCUUGAAAAUCAUCGAGGAUCGGAACACAAGAAAGCAACGUGAGCAAGUAAAGGAGCAGGAUCGCUUCGUCGAGACUAUCGGUGUCAAUCAGGACAUUAACCGCGGUCACUGUUCACCUUAGUUUGAAAAGGGUAAGGACCGAUUUCCUGGCCACCAGUCACGGCACUAGGGGUCCCGCACCAAACCAGACCAAAAGUUUACUGGUUCGUACACUUAGCGCCCAGAUGAUGGUUUCGGCUGUACAUACAAAAACAGCCCAGAGGCUGCGCUCUGUCGUGUAGAUCGGAUGGCAUUGUUUAAAGCGUUGACAUAAUUACAAUCUGCACGUUAUAUCUGAAACGUGAAU
ensembl:ncRNA lncRNA:CR45220 long non-coding RNA:CR45220